rnacentral:rRNA from 1 species
UACGAGAGGCCCAAACGUUAUUCGGAAUUACUGGGCUUAAAGAGUUCGUAGGCGGCAUGACAAGCAGGGUGUGAAAGCCCUCGGCUCAACCGAGGAGUUGCGCUCUGAACUGUCGUGCUUGAGGAACCUAGAGGUGAGCAGAACAGAUGGUGGAGCGGUGAAAUGCGUUGAUAUCUGGAGGAACACCGGUGGCGAAGGCGGCAUCCUGGACCAAUUCUGACACUGAGGAGCGAAAGCCAGGGGAGCAAACGGG